GAAAAGAAUAAACAGCCUUGAAAACUUUACUAAUCGUGUCUGCUACUGUCGAAGUGUUUCACAAUAUGAUUCAUUGUCUCGAAUCUUCUCCCAGUCAAGACCAGUGUAUCCUGCACGUGUGGUGCCUUCCACCAUGCCUGAUAGAGAGAUGUUGAGCUGUGGCGGUGGUGGAAUACUGCAGGAGUGAAGGCAGCCAGCCAGCCAGCCAGCGGCCCAUGGAGCGCUGGUGAGGGUUGUAGCUGUGGCCGCGGCUGCUACAACUGCUACUAUCUAACUACUACUAUACCAGUUUUUCACUUCAUUAAGAACAUCGUCAAUAAUGACCCAUGUCUGUUAUUAUUUAUUACAACUGACUGUUGAUUUAUUAUUGUUAUUGAUUGUAAUAUUGUAUUAUUAUUGACAUUUUCUUGUGAAUAUUAUUGUCAUUACUCCUUUUUGUUGUUAGUUUAUCAUUAUCUCUAUUACAAGUAUCAUUAUUCUUACCGUGAUGAGUAUGGUACAUAAUGAUUAAUAUUGAAACAUGUUUCAUAAUAGUUUAAAAACAGAUCAUGACUGUGCUGGCUAACCAGUAAUGCGCAUCGUCCAUAAGAAACCAUACAGGUUUAAAGGACAAAGUUUUCACUAAAAUUAUGUGCUAAUUUGUUUUGCAAAUAUGUGAAAUAAAAUCACAAUUUU